CCUUGAUAUUCACGAAUCGAAUCAAAGUUUCUGCUUCACGCUAUAUCAAGUGCCAACACAUACAGGAACUGAGUACUGAAUGUUGAAUGCCGGAUAGCGGCGGACGGGUGAGUAACGCGUGGGCAACCUGCCUCAUACUAGGGGAUAACACAGGGAAACUUGUGCUAAUACCGCAUAAUAUCAUUAUAGGGCAUCCUGUGAUGAUCAAAGGAGCAAUCCGGUGUGAGAUGGGCCCGCGUCCAAUUAGCUAGUUGGUGGGGUAACGGCCCACCAAGGCGACGAUUGGUAGCCGAACUGAGAGGUUGAUCGGCCACAUUGGGACUGAGACACGGCCCAGACUCCUACGGGAGGCAGCAGUGGGGAAUAUUGCGCAAUGGGGGAAACCCUGACGCAGCAACGCCGCGUGAAGGAUGAAGGUCUUCGGAUUGUAAACUUCUUUGAUGAGGGACGAACACAAUGACGGUACCUCAAAAACAAGCCACGGCUAACUACGUG
rnacentral:rRNA from 1 species